AUUGAACGCUGGCGGCAGGCCUAACACAUGCAAGUCGAACGAGUGGCGGACGAGUGAGUAAUGUCUGGGAAACUGCCUGAUGGAGGGGGAUAACUACUGGAAACGGUAGCUAAUACCGCAUACCAUCGGAUGUGCCCAGAUGGGAUUAGCUAGUAGGUGGGGUAAAGGCUCACCUAGGCGACGAUCCCUAGCUGGUCUGAGAGGAUGACGAGCCAAACUAGAACGGAGACACGGUCCAGAAUCCUACGGGAGGCAGCAGUGGGGAAUAUUGGACAAUGGGCGCGAACCGGAUGCAGACAUGCCGCGUGUAUGAAGAAGGCCUUCGGGUUGUAAAGGACUUUCAGCGGGGAGGCGUUACCCGCAGAAGAAGCACCGGCUAACUCCGUGCCAGCCGCCGCGGUAAUUC
rnacentral:rRNA from 1 species